GCCAGUGUGGUGCAGUGGUUUGGGUACUAGACUAUGACUCUGGAGACCAGGGUUCAAAUCCUCAUUCAGCCA